GGCUGGAAUUUUUGGCCAGUAGCUCAUUAAUGCAUGUUCAUGCACAAUAAAUAGCAUUAAGCCAGAGGCUGUUGAAAUACUAUAUUUGAUCUGAAAGGAGAGACACUACCGCUAGGAGCUUAUGCUAAAGGAAGAUGAACCCUUUAGAGUGGAAGGCAGAAUCCCAGCUAAAACCAUGCUUCCCUACCAAACGCCAAGAAAAAACUCUUGGCAUAGACUUGAAGCUCCUUGCCUAGAGGACGUUUCUUCUGGGAACUCUAUCUCUACUUUCCACAGAUGGUCAUUGCAUAGUCAGGAAGCAUCAGCAGGAUCUCUAUCUGCAACUCUACCCUACUUUGCUCCAGAAAUACAAGAACUAGUGAUUUCUCCUGGUGACUGUUCCACACACGAACCAGAGAUAGUCUUCCUGCACAUAAGACCAGUUGCAGAUUGGCUGGCCUUCCCUUCCAUCUGCUAUUCUCCCCACCGUAAGUUUCAGAAUUUACUUGGUAUCUCUGGCAUGUGGAUGGUGCCCUUCUCUCAUUUGUGUUACUUAUUUGCCUCUCUCUACCCCAUUUUCCCAAAUAUCCCUUUAAUCUUUUUGAAGAUCGUGUUGGUAGGAGCAGGGUUUUAAAGGGAUAGGUGAAUAAAUUAAUGUGAAUAUAGAAGUCCA
rnacentral:lncRNA from 1 species